AUUGAACGCUGGCGGCAGGCCUAACACAUGCAAGUCGAGCGGAUGAAGGGAGCUUGCUCCUGGAUUCAGCGGCGGACGGGUGAGUAAUGCCUGGGAAUCUGCCUGGUAGUGGGGGAUAACGUCCGGAAACGGGCGCUAAUACCGCAUACGUCCUGAGGGAGAAAGUGGGGGAUCUUCGGACCUCACGCUAUCAGAUGAGCCUAGGUCGGAUUAGCUAGUUGGUGGGGUAAAGGCCUACCAAGGCGACGAUCCGUAACUGGUCUGAGAGGAUGAUCAGUCACACUGGAACUGAGACACGGUCCAGACUCCUACGGGAGGCAGCAGUGGGGAAUAUUGGACAAUGGGCGAAAGCCUGAUCCAGCCAUGCCGCGUGUGUGAAGAAGGUCUUCGGAUUGUAAAGCACUUUAAGUUGGGAGGAAGGGCAGUAAGUUAAGACCUGGCUGUUUUGACGUUACCAACAGAAGAAGCACCGGCUAACUGCGU
rnacentral:rRNA from 1 species